rnacentral:rRNA from 1 species
AUUGAACGCUGGCGGCAGGCCUAACACAUGCAAGUCGAACGAGUGGCGGACGGGUGAGUAAUGUCUGAGAAACUGCCCGAUGGAGGGGGAUAACUACUGGAAACGGUAGCUAAUACCGCAUACCAUCGGAUGUGCCCAGAUGGGAUGAGCUUGUCGGUGGGGUAAAGGCUCACCGAGUAGAAGAUCCCUAGCUGGUCUGAGAGGAUGACCAGCCACACUGGAACUGCGACACGGUCCAGACUCCUACGGGAGGCAGCAGUGGGGAAGAUUGCACAAUGGGCGAAAGCCUGAUGCAGCCAUGCCGCGUGUAUGAAGAAGGCCGUCGGGUUGUAAAGGACUUUCAGCGGGGAGGCGUUACCCGCAGAAGAAGCACCGGCUAACUCCGUGCCAGCAGCCGCGGUAAUUC